rnacentral:rRNA from 1 species
GACGAACGCUGGCGGCGUGCUUAACACAUGCAAGUCGAACGGAAAGGCCUGCUUUCCCUUGUGGAUUGCGGGUACUCGAGUGGCGAACGGGUGGGUAACACGUGAGUGAUCUGCCCCCAACUUGGGUAUAAGCCUGGGAAACUGGGUCUAAUUCCCGAUAGGACUGCAGGGUGGUGCCUGUGGUGGAAAACGAUUUUCUAGUGGUUGGGGAUGAGCUCGCGGCCUAUCAGCUUGUUGGUGGGGUAAUGGCCUACCAAGGCGGCGACGGGUAGCCGGCCUGAGAGGGUGGACGGCCACAUUGGGACUGAGAUACGGCCCAGACUCCUACGGGAGGCAGCAGUGGGGAAUAUUACACAAUGGGCGGAAGCCUGAUGCAGCGACGCCGCGUGGGGGAUGACGGCCUUCGGGUUGUAAACUCCUUUCGACCGCGAGGAAGCCACCUGGUUGGAAGGGUGGUGACGGUAGUGGUAGAAGAAGCACCGGCUAACUACGUG